rnacentral:rRNA from 1 species
ACGGGUGAGUAACACGUAGGUAACCUGCCUAUAAGACUGGGAUAACUAUCGGAAACGAUAGCUAAGACCGGAUAACUGGUUUUCUCGCAUGAGAGAAUUAUGAAACACGGAGCAAUCUGUGGCUUAUAGAUGGGCCUGCGGCGCAUUAGCUAGUUGGUAGGGUAACGGCCUACCAAGGCGACGAUGCGUAGCCGACCUGAGAGGGUGAACGGCCACACUGGGACUGAGACACGGCCCAGACUCCUACGGGAGGCAGCAGUAGGGAAUCUUCCGCAAUGGACGCAAGUCUGACGGAGCAACGCCGCGUGAGUGAUGAAGGUUUUCGGAUCGUAAAGCUCUGUUGCCCUAGACGAACAGCAAGGAGAGUAACUGCUCUUUGUGUGACGGUAUAGGAGAAGAAAGCCCCGGCUAACUACGUGCCAGCAGCCGCGGUAAUACGUAGGGGGCAAGCGUUGUCCGGAAUUAUUGGGCGUAAAGCGCGCGCAGGCGGUCAAUUAAGUUGGGUGUUUAAGCCCGGGGCUCAACCCCGGUUCGCAUCCAAAACUGGUUGACUUGAGUGUAGGAGAGGAAAGUGGAAUUCCACGUGUAGC